GACGAACGCUGGCGGCGUGCUUAACACAUGCAAGUCGAACGGAAAGGCCCUGCUUUUGUGGGGUGCUCGAGUGGCGAACGGGUGAGUAACACGUGAGUAACCUGCCCUUGACUUUGGGAUAACUUCAGGAAACUGGGGCUAAUACCGGAUAGGAGCUCCUGCAGCAUGGUGGGGGUUGGAAAGUUUCGGCGGUUGGGGAUGGACUCGCGGCUUAUCAGCUUGUUGGUGGGGUAGUGGCUUACCAAGGCUUUGACGGGUAGCCGGCCUGAGAGGGUGACCGGCCACAUUGGGACUGAGAUACGGCCCAGACUCCUACGGGAGGCAGCAGUGGGGAAUAUUGCACAAUGGGCGGAAGCCUGAUGCAGCAACGCCGCGUGCGGGAUGACGGCCUUCGGGUUGUAAACCGCUUUCGCCUGUGACGAAGCGUGAGUGACGGUAAUGGGUAAAGAAGCACCGGCUAACUACGUGCCAGCAGCCGCGGUGAUACGUAGGGUGCGAGCGUUGUCCGGAUUUAUUGGGCGUAAAGGGCUCGUAGGUGGUUGAUCGCGUCGGAAGUGUAAUCUUGGGGCUUAACCCUGAGCGUGCUUUCGAUACGGGUUGACUUGAGGAAGGUAGGGGAGAAUGGAAUUCCUGGUGGAGCGGUGGAAUGCGCAGAUAUCAGGAGGAACACCAGUGGCGAAGGCGGUUCUCUGGGCCUUUCCUGACGCUGAGGAGCGAAAGCGUGGGGAGCGAACAGGCUUAGAUACCCUGGUAGUCCACGCUGUAAACGGUGGGUACUAGGUGUGGGGUCCAUUCCACGGGUUCCGUGCCGUAGCUAACGCUUUAAGUACCCCGCCUGGGGAGUACGGCCGCAAGGCUAAAACUCAAAGGAAUUGACGGGGCCCCGCACAAGCGGCGGAGCAUGCGGAUUAAUUCGAUGCAACGCGUAGAACCUUACCUGGGUUUGACAUGGAUCGGGAGUGCUCAGAGAUGGGUGUGCCUCUUUUGGGGUCGGUUCACAGGUGGUGCAUGGCUGUCGUCAGCUCGUGUCGUGAGAUGUUGGGUUAAGUCCCGCAACGAGCGCAACCCUUGUUCACUGUUGCCAGCACGUUAUGGUGGGGACUCAGUAGAGACCGCCGGGGUCAACUCGGAGGAAGGUGGGGAUGACGUCAAGUCAUCAUGCCCCUUAUGUCCAGGGCUUCACGCAUGCUACAAUGGCUGGUACAGAGAGUGGCGAGCCUGUGAGGGUGAGCGAAUCUCGGAAAGCCGGUCUCAGUUCGGAUUGGGGUCUGCAACUCGACCUCAUGAAGUCGGAGUCGCUAGUAAUCGCAGAUCAGCAACGCUGCGGUGAAUACAUUCCCGGGGCU
rnacentral:rRNA from 1 species